rnacentral:rRNA from 1 species
UGCUUAAAGGGGCCGUAGCUGGCUGAGUUAGUCCCUGUUAAAUCCAAUGAAUUAAUUGUUGGUGUGCGGGGGAUACUGCUUGGCUAGGGGGCGGGAGAGGCAGACGGUAUUUUCGGGGUAGGGGUGAAAUCCUAUAAUCCCGGGAAGACCACCAGUGGCGAAGGCUGUCUGCUAGAACGCGCCCGACGGUGAGGGAUGAAAGCUGGGGGAGCGAACCGGAUUAGAUACCCGGGUAGUCCCAGCUGUAAACUAUGCAGGCUAGGUGUUUGGGCGGCCACGUGCCGCUCUAGUGCCGCAGGGAAGCUGUUAAGCCUGCCGCCUGGGGAGUACGGUCGCAAGAUUGAAACUUAAAGGAAUUGGCGGGGGAGCACCACAAGGGGUGAAGCUUGCGGUUUAAUUGGAGUCAACGCCGGAAAUCUCACCGGGGGCGACAGCAGGUUGAAGGCCAGAUUAAAGGUCUUGCCAGACGAGCUGAGAGGAGGUGCAUGGCCGUCGCCAGUUCGUGCCGUGAGGUGUCCUGUUAAGUCAGGCAACGAUCGAGACCCGCGUCCUCUGUUGCUACUGGUUUUGUGCCAGGCACACUGAGGAGACCGCCGCUGAUAAAGCGGAGGAAGGAGCGGGCCACGGCAGGUCAGUAUGCCCCGAAUCUCCCGGGCCACACGCGAGCUGCAAUGGCAGGUACAGUGAGUUCCGACCUCGAAAGGGGGAGGUAAUCUCGAAAGCCUGCCGUAGUUGGGAUCGAGGGUUGAAACUCACCCUCGUGAACAUGGAAUCCCUAGUAAUCGCGUGUCACUAGCGCGCGGUGAAUACGUCCCUGCUCCUUGUACCCACCGCCCGU